rnacentral:rRNA from 1 species
UCGGCUUAGAGUUUGAUCAUGGCUCAGAUUGAACGCUGGCGGCAGGCUUAACACAUGCAAGUCGAACGGUAAAGUAGCUUGCUACUUACGAGUGGCGGACGGGUGAGUAACGUAUAGGAAUUUACCGAAUGGAGGGGGACAACAGUUGGAAACGGCUGCUAAUACCGCAUAACGUCGAGAGACCAAAGGGUUUCGACUUGCCAUUUGAUGAGCCCAUAUGAGAUUAGCUAGUUGGUGGGGUAAUGGCUCACCGAGGCGACGAUCUCUAGCUGGUU